AGGAAUUGGACUUAAAAUUUUUACUUCAAUUUGGUACUGAAACGGGAAGGUCUAAACAGGAAGUCAGCCUUCCAUUUCUUUGUAGACAGAAUAAAGCAAAGACAACGUAAACUAGAGCUCAGAAAAUCGCCUCUAAAGGAUUGGCUUUCAUCAUUUAAAAUUGUUGAACCCCCCUUCGGCAGCAGGAGUAGAAGGGGGAUCUUUUCUGGACUGUUUAAACCUGCAGAAGUGAGUUUAAAGUAAAGUAACUUUCCACCGUCCUGAUCCUGGAGCGGGGUGUCAGGACUGACGUUUGAAGCUCAUUGACCAGAAACAAGCGCUUUUGACAGAUAGCUAAAAGAAGAGGAACAUAGUGAUUCCAUUGUUUCCUUUCGCACCUUAAAGGAACAAAUAUUGACAAAAUAUCUGAAAAAAGGAAACUCAGUUGCUAGACUUGUCUUUAAAAGAAAGAUUAAACAGAAGUUUUCCCCCUAGAGGGAGACUGUGAAACUGUAACCAACUCCUGGGAGCUGGCACCUGUUACAGAUUACAGUCAUGGGAAUAGACAUCUGACCUUCAGGACAAUGUAUUCAGAAGCUCUGUUGUGUGCUUUCUAUAAAACAAAUGCCCUACUGGAACAGUUACAUGAGAAGACGAAUUUGAUGGCUGAUUCGAUUAGAAAUUUUGAACAGGCAGUGGGAAAUUUUGAACAGGCAGUGGGAAAAUAUGUGGAGCCCACCCAGGAAUUAAAUCAGGAGUGUGUCCUGACAGAACAGGCCCUACAGGAAUAUGAGCUUUCGGAUUUGACAAAUGAACUUGGAAAAAGCCAGACUUGGAAAGAAAAAGUUUGGUUUGGUUUGGAAAUGGGGGGUUGGAUAGACCCUCCUAUGCAGGGAUGUUUGGACUUUUCAAGUCUGGCAAUGGGCCGUGAGAUGUUUGGGAUUGUGGGGGCUCUUAAUUUUGGAGGGAUUUUGAAACAUGUUUUUAAAUACCACAUGGAAUUUAGUGUCGAUUAUGGAAAAGGGGCUGAUCUGUCGAGAAGGGUCAAAAAUAUUGCUAAGUUGGAGUUCCCACGAGUGAAAGGAGCAGGAGACAAAGGAAAAUACAGCUAUAAAUAUGAAGAAGAGCCGCGGAAGGGACAUGGAAGGGACUUAAGGGCCUCGGAUAUAAGAUUACCAGGUUAAUGCGCCAGAUCGAUGGGAUAAUAAGGACUGACAAAACCCGGGACCAGGAGGAAGGGACGCUGGAUGAAGAUUGGAUUUGUUUUUAUUUCUCUUUUUUACUACUAGGACUGUUUUAUAAAAUUGAUGAAUGUUAGAAAAAUGUUGGAAUGAAAUUACUUGGCUUUAGUAAAAAUGUUUAAAGAAUUAUGCAAAAAUAUUAUGGUUAUGAGAAGUUGGUAAAAAUAAGAUUUAAGUUUUAAGUCUCAAGGUUUUUUUUAUACUAAGAUAAGAUUAAAAUAGUUUAAGGUAAUGUAAUGACAGAAUAUUAUGAAAUAUGGAAAGGAUUUGCUGUGACAAUUAACAAACAGGAUACAAGGAAGGGGAGGAGGAGGAGGUCAAGGAAAGAGGGUAAUGACAGUUGAGGAGUUGAGAAUAAUGGAUUUGUUUUUAAAUGUUUUUAAAUGUGUGUGGUGUAUUUUUGUUUUUUUCUUUCUUAUUUUGAAUUUGUAUCUCUUUUUCUACUUUGUUUUUCUUUUGUAACUUAAAAAAAUUU